AACUAUCUUCGAUAGAUCUAUAGGCUCGCUCAUCGACGAAAGACGCAUGGAAUAACGGUGAACAUUGUGAACUGCAGAUUUAAGCGAGCUAUCGAAUUUCGGAACGCAUUUUGCGCUGCGGGUAUCGGCCGGCACCACUUCUGUUCAACCCUAU
rnacentral:rRNA from 1 species